CCUACGGGAGGCUGCAGUGGGGAAUAUUGCACAAUGGGGGGAACCCUGAUGCAGCGACGCCGCGUGGGUGAAGGAGCACCUCGGUGCGUAAAGCCCUAUCGGCAGGGAAGAAACAGACGGUACCUGACUAAGAAGCCCCGGCUAACUACGUGCCAGCAGCCGCGGUAAUACGUAGGGGGCAAGCGUUAUCCGGAUUUAUUGGGUUUAAAGGGAGCGUAGGUGGAUUGUUAAGUCAGUUGUGAAAGUUUGCGGCUCAACCGUAAAAUUGCAGUUGAAACUGUUUCCCUUGAGUGUCGGAGAGGUAAUCGGAAUUCCUUGUGUAGCGGUGAAAUGCGUAGAUAUAAGGAAGAACACCAGUGGCGAAGGCGGAUUACUGGACGAUAACUGACGGUGAGGCGCGAAAGCGUGGGGAGCAAACAGGAUUAGAUACCCUUGUAGUC
rnacentral:rRNA from 1 species